rnacentral:rRNA from 1 species
AUACAGAGGGCCCGAGCGUUGAUCGGAAUCACUGGGCUUAAAGGGUACGUAGGCGGAUUGGCAAGUGUGUUGUGAAAUCCCACGGCUCAACCGUGGAAUUGCUUCGCAAACUGCCAAUCUUGAGCCCAUCAGGGGUCGUCAGAACUCUAGGUGGAGCGGUGAAAUGCGUAGAUAUCUAGAGGAAUGCCAAUGGUGAAGACAGACGACUGGGACGGAGCUGACGCUCAGGUACGAAAGCAUGGGUAGCGAACGGGAUUAGAAACCCUAGUAGUCC